GAUUUACAUUUGAGUGAGUGGCGAACUGGUGAGUAACACGUGGGAAACCUGCCCAGAAGCGGGGGAUAACACCUGGAAACAGAUGCUAAUACCGCAUAACAACUUGGACCGCAGGGUCCGAGUUUGAAAGAUGGCUUCGGCUAUCACUUUUGGAUGGUCCCGCGGCGUAUUAGCUAGAUGGUGGGGUAACGGCUCACCAUGGCAAUGAUACGUAGCCGACCUGAGAGGGUAAUCGGCCACAUUGGGACUGAGACACGGCCCAAACUCCUACGGGAGGCAGCAGUAGGGAAUCUUCCACAAUGGACGAAAGUCUGAUGGAGCAACGCCGCGUGAGUGAAGAAGGGUUUCGGCUCGUAAAACUCUGUUGUUAAAGAAGAACAUAUCUGAGAGUAACUGUUCAGGUAUUGACGGUAUUUAACCAGAAAGCCACGGCUAACUACGUGCCAGCAGCCGCGGUAAUACGUAGGUGGCAAGCGUUGUCCGGAUUUAUUGGGCGUAAAGCGAGCGCAGGCGGUUUUUUAAGUCUGAUGUGAAAGCCUUCGGCUCAACCGAAGAAGUGCAUCGGAAACUGGGAAACUUGAGUGCAGAAGAGGACAGUGGAACUCCAUGUGUAGCGGUGAAAUGCGUAGAUAUAUGGAAGAACACCAGUGGCGAAGGCGGCUGUCUGGUCUGUAACUGACGCUGAGGCUCGAAAGUAUGGGUAGCAAACAGGAUUAGAUACCCUGGUAGUCCAUACCGUAAACGAUGAAUGCUAAGUGUUGGAGGGUUUCCGCCCUUCAGUGCUGCAGCUAACGCA
rnacentral:rRNA from 2 species